GCGACCCCAGGUCAGGCGGGAUUWCCCGCUGAGUU
rnacentral:rRNA from 1 species